rnacentral:RNase_P_RNA from 2 species
UCAGUCCAAAGACCACGGCUCAUCGUAUGCAACUCUCAAGAAGAUGACCAGUUCAUCUUUCUCAUCUUCGCGACGGGGUUAAGGUCCGAGUCUUUAAGUCCUUCACAUUUCAAUGUGGCUUUAGCUCUCGAAGGGCUCACUUUUGUAACAUCAAGUGGCGCGCAUCAUCAGAAAUAUCUCUCUAGACUUCUUUUCUUUCGACCCAUCCACCUCCGUCGAUUUUUCAUCGAUACAAAAAGACACCGAGGACGAAGGGAAGGGCAGUAGGAUGUUUCAACGAUACCGAAAGGUGGAGGAUCGUCAUCUCGCUUUUCUCAUUCCAGGUUCUGAAAGGAGGGCGGCUGUAGAUUGAAAAGUAGUCAGGAGAUUGGGAAAGUUGCGUGGGGACAGCGAGGAGGGAAUUUUCUAUUUUCUCUUUUUGAUUAAGUGCAAUCCGUGGUUUGCAGUUUCAUUCAUUUGAACUGCAAAACUCAAUUCGGACUACUCUUGGAUCUGA